rnacentral:rRNA from 1 species
GUGGAUUAGAUACCCUGGUAGUCCAUGCCGUAAACGUUGGGAACUAGGUGUGGGUCUCAUUCCACGAGAUCCGUGCCGCAGCUAACGCAUUAAGUUCCCCGCCUGGGGAGUACGGCCGCAAGGCUAAAACUCAAAGGAAUUGACGGGGGCCCGCACAAGCGGCGGAGCAUGCGGAUUAAUUCGAUGCAACGCGAAGAACCUUACCAAGGCUUGACAUAUGCGAGAACGCGGCAGAGAUGUCGUUCUCUUUGGACACUCGCAUACAGGUGGUGCAUGGUUGUCGUCAACU